rnacentral:misc_RNA from 1 species
GUAGAUCCCAAUCCCAUUUGGGUUGAUGGCAACUUAACAACAUACAUUUAGGACAGCACAUGAUAAAGGACCACUUAAAUAGGUUGUUAGGAGUUUGUCUUCAUUACCAGGCUGGCGUUAUAAAUAAUAAAGAGGAGUUUAAUCAAUUCUUCCUGUUGCAACAAUUCAGUUCAGUAAAUUACCUGCAUUACAACACCGGCAACAG